rnacentral:tRNA from 5 species
GUCCCGUUCGUCUAGAGGCCUAGGACACUGCCCUUUCACGGCGGCAACACGGGUUCGAAUCCCGUACGGGACGCCA